UACGAAGGGGGCUAGCGUUGCUCGGAAUCACUGGGCGUAAAGCGCACGUAGGCGGAUAUUUAAGUCAGGGGUGAAAUCCUGGAGCUCAACUCCAGAACUGCCUUUGAUACUGAGAAGCUUGAGUCCGGGAGAGGUGAGUGGAACUGCGAGUGUAGAGGUGAAAUUCGUAGAUAUUCGCAAGAACACCAGUGGCGAAGGCGGCUCACUGGCCCGGUACUGACGCUGAGGUGCGAAAGCGUGGGGAGCAAACAGG
rnacentral:rRNA from 1 species